rnacentral:rRNA from 1 species
AGCCAGAGGAAGAUAUUUUUGGUUUAACCUGCCCAAUGUAUUAUUGUAUGAAUGGCCGCGGUACCCUGACCGUGCUAAGGUAGCGUAAUCAGUUGGCUUUUAAAUGGAGUCAGGUAUGAAUGGGAUAACCGGGCUUAGCUGUCUCAAAGACAUUUAUUUGAAUUUACUGUUCAAGUGAAAAAGCUUGACGUAAGAAAAGGGACGAGAAGACCCUUAGAAUUUUGUUUAAAGAGGGUUAUCUCCUCUAUGAUUUUGUUGGGGCGACAGAGAAAUAAUUAAAACUUUCUUUAAAUUAAUCAGUCGGAAUUUUCAGGUUAGGAUAAAUUACCUGAGGGAUAACAGCAUAAUUUUAUAAAUAAGUUUGUGACCUCGAUGUUGGACUAGGAAGCUAAUGGGUUAGCUGCUCAUUGUGCGGAUUCUGUUCGAAUUUUAACUCCUA